rnacentral:rRNA from 1 species
UACGUAGGGUCCGAGCGUUGUCCGGAGUUACUGGGCGUAAAGCGCGCGCAGGCGGCUACACAAGCAUGGCGUGAAAGCCCCCGGCUUAACCGGGGAGGGUCGUCGUGGACCGUGUGGCUUGAGGGCGGGAGGGGCUGGUGGAAUUCCCGGUGUAGUGGUGAAAUGCGUAGAGAUCGGGAGGAACACCCGUGGCGAAGGCGGCCAGCUGGACCGACCCUGACGCUGAGGUGCGAAAGCGUGGGGAGCAAACAGG